UACGUAGGGCGCAAGCGUUAUCCGGAAUUAUUGGGCGUAAAGAGCUCGUAGGCGGUUUGUCGCGUCUGCCGUGAAAGUCCGGGGCUCAACUCCGGAUCUGCGGUGGGUACGGGCAGACUAGAGUGCAGUAGGGGAGACUGGAAUUCCUGGUGUAGCGGUGAAAUGCGCAGAUAUCAGGAGGAACACCGGUGGCGAAGGCGGGUCUCUGGGCCGAUACUGACGCUGAGGAGCGAAAGCGUGGGGAGCGAACAGG
rnacentral:rRNA from 1 species